CCUCCACAGGCCCGCCCCGGGGCCUGGGCCAACUGAAACCGCGGGAGGAGGAAGCGCGGAAUCAGGAACUGGCCAGGGUCGGCACCGGGCCUGAGUCGGUCCGAGGCCGUCCCAGGAGCAGCUGCCCGCGCGGGACAGCACAAUGGGCUUCUCUUCUGAGCUGUGCAGCCCCCAGGGCCACGGGGUCCUGCAGCAGAUGCAGGAGGCCGAGCUUCGUCUACUGGAGGGCAUGAGAAAGUGGAUGGCCCAGCGGGUCAAGAGUGACAGGGAGUAUGCAGGACUGCUUCACCACAUGUCCCUGCAGGACAGUGGGGCCCAGAGCCGGGGCAUCAGCCCUGACAGCCCCAUCAGCCAGUCCUGGGCCGAGAUCACCAGCCAAACUGAGGGCCUGAGCCGGUUGCUGCGGCAGCACGCAGAGGAUCUGAACUCAGGGCCCCUGAGCAAGUUGAGCCUGCUCAUUCGGGAACGGCAGCAGCUUCGCAAGACCUACAGCGAGCAGUGGCAGCAGCUGCAGCAGGAGCUCACCAAGACCCACAGCCAGGACAUUGAGAAGCUGAAGAGCCAGUACCGAGUUCUGGCACGGGACAGUGCCCAAGCCAAGCGCAAGUACCAGGAGGCCAGCAAAGACAAGGACCGUGACAAGGCCAAGGACAAGUAUGUGCGCAGCCUGUGGAAGCUCUUUGCUCACCACAACCGCUAUGUGCUGAGCGUGCGGGCUGCACAGCUACACCACCAGCACCACCACCAGCUCCUGCUGCCCGGCCUGCUGCGGUCACUGCAGGACCUGCACGAGGAGAUGGCUUGCAUCCUGAAGGAGAUCCUGCAGGAAUACCUGGAGAUUAGCAGCCUGGUGCAGGAUGAGGUGGUGGCCAUUCACCGGGAGAUGGCUGCAGCUGCUGCCCGCAUCCAGCCUGAGGCUGAGUACCAAGGCUUCCUGCGACACUAUGGGUCCGCACCUGACGUCCCACCCUGCGUCACAUUCGAUGAGUCACUGCUUGAGGAGGGUGAACCGCUGGAGCCUGGGGAGCUCCAGCUGAACGAGCUGACUGUGGAGAGCGUGCAGCACACGCUGACCUCGGUGACAGAUGAGCUGGCUGUGGCCACCGAGAUGGUGUUCAGGCGGCAGGAGAUGGUUACACAGCUGCAACAGGAGCUCCGGAAUGAAGAGGAGAACACCCACCCCCGGGGGCGGGUGCAGCUGCUGGGCAAGAGGCAGGUGCUGCAAGAAGCACUGCAGGGGCUGCAGGUAGCGCUGUGCAGCCAGGCCAAGCUGCAGGCCCAGCAGGACUUGCUGCAGACCAAGCUGGAGCAGCUGGGCGCCGGCGAGCCCCCGGCCGUGCUGCUCCUGCAGGAUGACCGCCACUCCACGUCGUCCUCGGAGCAGGAGCGAGAGGGGGGAAGGACGCCCACGCUGGAGAUCCUUAAGAGCCACAUCUCAGGAAUCUUCCGCCCUAAGUUCUCGCUCCCCCCACCGCUGCAGCUCGUUCCGGAGGUGCAGAAGCCCCUACAUGAGCAGCUGUGGUACCACGGGGCCAUCCCGAGGGCCGAGGUGGCUGAGCUGCUGGUGCACUCGGGGGACUUCCUGGUGCGGGAGAGCCAGGGCAAGCAGGAGUACGUGCUGUCGGUGCUGUGGGAUGGUCUGACCCGGCACUUCAUCAUCCAGUCCUUGGACAACCUGUACCGACUGGAAGGGGAAGGCUUUCCCAGCAUUCCGUUGCUCAUCGACCACCUACUGAGCACCCAGCAGCCCCUCACCAAGAAGAGUGGUGUCGUCCUGCACAGGGCUGUGCCCAAGGACAAGUGGGUGCUGAACCAUGAGGACCUGGUGUUGGGUGAGCAGAUUGGACGGGGGAACUUUGGCGAAGUGUUCAGCGGACGCCUGCGAGCCGACAACACCCUGGUGGCGGUGAAGUCUUGUCGAGAGACGCUCCCACCUGACCUCAAGGCCAAGUUUCUACAGGAAGCGAGGAUCCUGAAGCAGUACAGCCACCCCAACAUCGUGCGUCUCAUUGGUGUCUGCACCCAGAAGCAGCCCAUCUACAUCGUCAUGGAGCUUGUGCAGGGGGUCCUCCCCACCUGCAGGGGGCGACUUCCUGACCUUCCUCCGCACGGAGGGGGCCCGCCUGCGGGUGAAGACUCUGCUGCAGAUGGUGGGCGAUGCAGCUGCUGGCAUGGAGUACCUGGAGAGCAAGUGCUGCAUCCACCGGGACCUGGCUGCUCGGAACUGCCUGGUGACAGAGAAGAAUGUCCUGAAGAUCAGUGACUUUGGGAUGUCCCGAGAGGAAGCUGAUGGGGUCUAUGCAGCCUCAGGGGGCCUCAGACAAGUCCCUGUGAAGUGGACCGCACCUGAGGCCCUUAACUACGGCCGCUACUCCUCCGAAAGCGACGUGUGGAGCUUUGGCAUCUUGCUCUGGGAGACCUUCAGCCUGGGGGCCUCCCCCUAUCCCAACCUCAGCAAUCAGCAGACACGGGAGUUCGUGGAGAAGGGGGGCCGUCUGCCCUGCCCAGAGCUGUGUCCUGAUGCCGUGUUCAGGCUCAUGGAGCAGUGCUGGGCCUAUGAGCCUGGGCAGCGGCCCAGCUUCAGCACCAUCUACCAGGAGCUGCAGAGCAUCCGAAAGCGGCAUCGGUGAGGCUGGGACCCCCUUCUCAAGCUGGUGGCCUCUGCAGGCCUAGGUGCAGCUCCUCAGCGGCUCCAGCUCAUAUGCUGACAGCUAUUCACAGUCCUGGACUCCCGCCACCAGCAUCCACACUGCCGGCAGGAUGCAGCGCUGUGUCUUCUCUGUGUCCCUGCUGCUGCCAGGGCUUCCUCUUCCGGGCAGAAACAAUAAAACCACUUGUGCCCCCUGAA